rnacentral:tRNA from 1 species
AGAUCUGUCGUUUAAAGGAUAAGACAUAAACCUUCUAAGUUUAGAAUGUAGGUUCAAGUCCUACUAGAUCUA